CACACCGCCCGUCACACCAUGGGAGUUUGUUGCACCAGAAGCAGGUAGCUUAACCUUCGGGAGGGCGUCUUGCCACGGUGUGGCCGAUGACUGGGGUGAAGUCGUAAACAAGGUACC
rnacentral:rRNA from 1 species